rnacentral:lncRNA from 1 species
CUAUAAUGCAAUAUUUUUUAAAAAUAAAAAUUAAUACAAAAAAUUCAUGAUAAACAACUAUCAAGAUUUUGAAAAAGACAGGGUCAGUAGUACAGAUUUUUCCUUUUGUCUCAGGCUCAAGUAUGCUCAGUGCAGCGCUGUGUGCUAGCUGCUACACCAUAGGGCUUUACAUCCAUUGUCUUAUUUUUUUAUUUUUAUUUUUUAGCCUUUUUUUUGGAAGAUUGGCCCUGAGCUAACAUCUGUUGGCAAUCUUCCUCUUUCUUUUUUUCCCUCCCCAAAGCCCCAGUACAUAGUUGUAUAUCCUAGUUGCAAGUGGUUCUAGUUCCUCUAUGUGGGAUGCUGCCAUCAAGCAUGGCUUGAUGAGCAGAGCGUAUGUCCGUGCCCGGGAUCCAAACUGGUGAACCCUGCCCUGCUGAAGCGGAGUGCGUGAACUUAACCACUCAGCCAUGGGGCUGGCCCCUCAUUAUUUUAUUUAAUCUCCACAAUAACCCUUAUGAUUAGGUUCUGCAAUUAGCAUGAUUUUAUGGUUGAGGAAGCGGAGGCUUGGUGGGCUCAAGUCACAGAGGUGGUAAGGGGCAGGAAUGGAACUCGAACCCAGGUCUCUGGCUUUAUAAUUCAUGCUUUUAAGUACUGGGUUAUGUGCCCUUACAAAUAUACAUACAGAGCUCACUGCUCCACAGAGACUGCCCCAGUGUGGCUGAGCUGGCAGUGGGCUCUGCCUGGGGCAACGCUCUGGUCCUCCUGGAGGGAUGCUCAGCGCAGUUUCAUGCCUUACACCUGCUGCUUACCGGCUGGAACCCUUUGGGGGGCUCCUCUUUCCCUAUCCACUGGGUUCCACGAGACUGGAAACCACUGCCGAAGGGGCUUCACCGAACACCAAAACUUCAGGGUGCACUUCACACUCACUUCAUCCAGAAGUAGGAAAUCCAAGUUGCUGGAUGAGAAGAGAUCCCUCAAGAUCAAGAGAAGAGAUCAAGAGAGGAAAAUCCCUUGGAGCUGGAGGAGGGCUCUCUCAGGACCAUUCUGGCUGAGUUGGUAAUCAAAGACAUUUUGAUGGGGGCCGUAUGAUGAAACUCCUUUGACAUCACCCAUUUGGGUACACAACUGACACGACUUUGGAGAUGAAUGUGGUGAAGUCAAAGAUGGAGAGAGGUAAUUUCGACUUUUCUUAAAUUUUUUUUUCAAAACUGGAAGUUAAUGAUAGGUUAUUUUUUAGACUGGGUCAAAAAUUUCCUGAGGUCUAAAUGGCAUGAACCUACUUAUGUUUUAUAGGUUAAGAUUCUUUUGGUAUCAAGUAACAGAAAACUCAAGUGAAACUGUCUUAAACAACAACAAAAGGAUGCAUUCAUAAAUCCAGGUCAGAUUGGAUUCAGUAGCUUAACAGUGUAAUCAGAACCCAGUUUCUUUCAGUGUCUCUGUUUAGCCUCAUGUGGUGUCAGCUUCAUUCUGAGCCCGACUUUUUUCAAGGAGAGAAAAUGGAUGCACUGGUUUCAAGAGUUUCAUCCAUAUAUCACAUAGUUCAGAGGGAAUGAGAGUUUCAUUCCUUGAAGCCACCAAAAAAUGUUUGCUCUAAUCUUCUGGGACUCGUGUUCACCACUGAACUAAUAACUGUGGGCCAGAAUAGGACUGAGCUGAAUUGCUUAGGCUGGAACUCCUGUGCCCUAUCCCCAGAGCAGUGAUUUUCAUGAGGUGAUGAUUUUGCCCCCAGGUGACAUUUUUGGUUGUCGUAACUGGUGUGCGUGUGCAACUAGUAUCUAGUGAGUAGAGGCCAAGGAUGAUUCUAAGAGUCCUACAACGCUACAAUGCACAGGAUAGCAUGUUUCUCCUCUCCCCUGCAAAAAAGGGAAUUAUCUGGCUUCAGCUGUCAAGGUUGAGAAACUUUGCGUUAGAGGAAGUGUUACCGAAACCAAAGUGGGUUCGCCUCCUGGUGAGUUAAAUCAGACUCUCCACCAGAAGUAGUUGUCUCACAAAGUCAGGUAUAUUUGUAGCAAAUAGGAGACCAUGAGGAAUCAUUUCCUGAGUCAUGGUGUCCCCAAACUAAGGGAAGCAGGGACCUUUUAUUUCAGAUGGGGAAUGAAUAUUUAAAUAGGAGAGGUGGGUAUUUGCUUGUGCAGGCUUUGUUGGAAAACAUGCUUCCACGUGCACUGCAGUUAAGGCAAUGAGGCCUAAGCUCCUCCUGGAGAGAUCUUAGCAUUGAAAAUAAGGCAAAGGUUAUAAACGUAGCUCUGGGUGAGUCUUGGUCUGGUUCAGGGUGGUUGGUGACCGCAUCUGCUUAACAUAACAAAAGGAAAAAAAAACAAUUUGGAAAAAGAGUUAAAUGCUUCUAAACUCACUUUUGAGUUCUUUGGGGCAAUUAAUCUGUAGCAGAAGGUGUAGAUAUUAGAAUAAAAUUGGUGUAUUAGCAAGGGAAAAGGGAAUG